rnacentral:rRNA from 1 species
GAUGAACGCUGGCGGCGUGCCUAAUACAUGCAAGUCGAGCGAACGGACGAGAAGCUUGCUUCUCUGAUGUUAGCGGCGGACGGGUGAGUAACACGUGGAUAACCUACCUAUAAGACUGGGAUAACUUCGGGAAACCGGAGCUAAUACCGGAUAAUAUUUUGAACCGCAUGGCUCAAAUGUGAAAGACGGUCUUGCUGUCACUUAUAGAUGGAUCCGCGCUGCAUUAGCUAGUUGGUAAGGUAACGGCUUACCAAGGCAACGAUGCAUAGCCGACCUGAGAGGGUGAUCGGCCACACUGGAACUGAGACACGGUCCAGACUCCUACGGGAGGCAGCAGUAGGGAAUCUUCCGCAAUGGGCGAAAGCCUGACGGAGCAACGCCGCGUGAGUGAUGAAGGUCUUCGGAUCGUAAAACUCUGUUAUUAGGGAAGAACAUAUGUGUAAGUAACUGUGCACAUCUUGACGGUACCUAAUCAGAAAGCCACGGCUAACUACGUG